UACGUAGGGUGCGAGCGUUGUCCGGAAUUAUUGGGCGUAAAGGGCUCGUAGGCGGUUUGUCGCGUCGGGAGUGAAAACCUUGGGCUUAACUCAGGGCUUGCUUUCGAUACGGGCAGACUAGAGGUAUGCAGGGGAGAACGGAAUUCCUGGUGUAGCGGUGAAAUGCGCAGAUAUCAGGAGGAACACCGGUGGCGAAGGCGGGUCUCUGGGCAGUAACUGACGCUGAGGCACGAAGGCCAGGGGAGCAAACGGG
rnacentral:rRNA from 1 species